AAGCCACAAGCCAAGGGAGGAGGAUCAUUAAAAGGCCAGAGAAUCACUUAGCUACAGUCCAGUAUUCAAGCAGGGUGGCACAAAUGGCUCAACUCUUCAACUACAUAUGUGGAAGAAAGCAAAGCUAGAAAGGUGUCAGUUCACUUUGUGCAGGAAAUGAGCUCAAACCAGUAUUACUGUACAAAUAAACAACUGAAACAGGAAAAUAGACGUCAGAAUAGCAACAAGUUUUUAAUGAAGAAUGCAGCUUCAGGAACCAAUGAAAGCACUGACGGAUUAUAUAGGAUUGUGCAUUUCUUCAAGAUACAGGAUCUUGAAGUUUUAUUCAACAUUGAUGCUCCUAUUAUCUCCACAAUCUGACUCUGGAGUGAGGACCUAACAUGACACGAAGCAAGCAGACUUCACAGCUGAACCAGACUCAGAUGUGUCCUGAGUCUUCUGCGCAUCAGCAUUUCUGCAAGGUAAACUUCGCUUGAAACACUCAGGCAUCUUCAACAUCAAGGCAGUAGCUCUUGCA